UACGUAGGGGGCUAGCGUUGUCCGGAUUUACUGGGCGUAAAGCGCACGUAGGCGGAUCGAUCAGUCAGGGGUGAAAUCCCAGGGCUCAACCCUGGAACUGCCUUUGAUACUGUCGAUCUGGAGUAUGGAAGAGGUGAGUGGAAUUCCGAGUGUAGAGGUGAAAUUCGUAGAUAUUCGGAGGAACACCAGUGGCGAAGGCGGCUCACUGGUCCAUUACUGACGCUGAGGUGCGAAAGCGUGGGGAGCAAACAGG
rnacentral:rRNA from 1 species